GUUGUAGACAAUCAAGAAUCAGACGCUACUCAGCUGUGCCUGUGUAAAGGGCAAAGAGCAAGUGGGUAUUUCUACGCCCAGUGUUCAGAAGCCAAUGAGCACUAAGAAUGGUUUAUAGCCUGACAUUU